CUGACCUCGAAUCAGGUAG
rnacentral:rRNA from 1 species